UUUCUCUCCCUAUUUCUCUAUUUCGAAGGACGUUACAGGCAAGAUACAUAACAGAAUUAUUUAAAAAUUAUAGCACCAAAUCCUUAGACAGACGGGCAAAAAGAAAUGGUGAAUCACAUCAUUGAAACUUUCCUUCGCUGCUUCACAAGUAACCAACCUCAACAAUGGAUGAAAUGGUUAGCUUGGGCCAAAUUUUGUUAUAAUACAAGCUUCCAGUCAUCCCUCAAAAUGAUCACUUUGCAAGUGGUCUAUGGCAAGCCACCACCUGCCCUGAAAUCUUACUAUCCCGGCAUGUCCAAAGUGGAGGCAGUGGAUAUUGAAUUAAUCCAACAAGAUGAAAUCAUAGCUCUCUUGCAGGACAACUUGAGAAAAGCCCAUAACCAGAUGAAACAAUUCCAUGACAAGAAAUGCAGGGAAGUCCACUUCAACAUUGUUCAUCAAGUACUCAAACUCCAUCCUUAUAGACAACAUGCAAUGUCCACAUGUCCGAAUGGAAAACUUGCUGACAAAUUUUAUGGACCAUACUCAAUAAUCCAGAAAAUCAAUUCCAGAACACGCUUACUUUCGCAGCCACCAAACUGCAAGAUCCACCAUGUAUUCCAUUUUGUCACCCAGGAACUCAAUCACAUCCGCCUUACCUAAUACCUACACCGAAACAUCCACCAACCACCCUCAAGCAAUUUUGGAUACUCAAUACUUCAGGAAUAAACUGGAAUUGUUAGCACAAUGCCAAGGCAAAUCUCCUGCAUAAGCUUCUUGGGAGACCAUGCAAUACAUGAGUUCAAAGUUCCCCAACUUCUCUCUUGUGGACAGACUCAUUUUCAAAAACGGGUGAAUAUAUAGGCCUAACACCAGGAAAACAUUAGGGACGACGUACAAGAGGCAGAGGCAAAAAACGAAUGCAGAAGUGACAGACCAAACCAAAGA
rnacentral:misc_RNA from 1 species